ensembl:antisense
AAUCAAUCUCAAGGAAGCUCUUUGGAAGCCAGGAUUCCCAGCACUUAGCUGGUGGGCAAAGGGGCUCAACCCCUUCCCCACAUCCCACCUUCCCUCCUCCCAGUCUUCGGGAUUGCGGAGCUCCUGCCGGGAUCCAAGAGCAGGCUCUUGGAGGUCGAAGAAGGAUAUAACCUCCAGACCUGGAAUUUAAGACGCAAGAACCAGCCAGCAAAAGUGGCAGCCGAGCAUGCGAACAUUCAGAGCAGAACGGAGGGGCCCCACAAGGACUGUCCUGCGCAGGAUUUGAUCACCCCCCAUCACUCAAGAAAUUCCAAAGGGUCCAGCUGCUGUGCACCAGGAACAGAUGACAAUGCCCAAAUAUACACAGUCUUUCACCAAAUCUAUGGGACUGCUGAUGGCUUUUUAUUAGGAAGCUAUGCAACUUGAGGUUCUACUGAAAAGGAGAAGAGGCCACUGGAGAUGGGAAGCCACGAAAACGACAGCCUCUCACUGGCAUGGAGCACAGCAAGCAGGCUAGGCUGGCUGGCUAGCGAUCUCCAUCCCAUCUAUCUUUGCCUUCUCAGCACCGGGAUUGCAUACACACCCAGAAUUCUUGGCAUGUUUCUUCAUCCUCUCCAUUUCAAGUUUUAUUUUUAUAAAAGGAAGAUAACAGUAAGAUAUCUAAUUUCAUUAAUGUUUAAUCAAGGAAGUUGUAAAGGUUUAAAUAUAUGUUCUAUUUUGAUUUAUCUCCUAGUGUGUUUCAAGUAGAACUUUCCAAGAUUUGAGGGUCAACUGUCAGCUUCACGUGUUUUAAAUUGACAUGUAUUUGUCCAGAUUUACAGAGUUCAGCAUAGCAAGUUAACGCAUGAUAUGUAAUAAAUGAUGAUCCAAUUG